rnacentral:rRNA from 1 species
UCCCCCGGUUAGGUUGGGCACUCUAAGGAGACUGCCGGUGACAAACCGGAGGAAGGUGGGGAUGACGUCAAGUCAUCAUGGCCCUUAUGGCCAGGGCUACACACGUGUUACAAUGGCCGGUACAAAGGGAAGCCAACCCGCGAGGGGAAGCCAAUCCCAUAAACCCCGUCUCAGUCCGGAUUGCAGUCUGCAACUCGCCUCCAUGAAGUCGAAUCGCUAGUAAUCGCGAU